AACGAACGCUGGCGGCAGGCUUAACACGUGCAAGUCGAACGCCCCUGUGAGGGGGAGUGGCAGACGGGUGAGUAACACGUGGGAACAUACCCUUUGGUUCGGAAAAACUUCGGGAAACUGAGGCUAAUACCGGAUACGGCCUAUUGGGCGAAAGAUUGAUCGCCGAAGGAUUGGCCCGCGUUCGAUUAGCUAGUUGGUACGGUAAUGGCGUACCAAGGCGACGAUCGAUAGCUGGUCUGAGAGGAUGGCCAGCCACAUUGGGACUGAGACACGGCCCAAACUCCUACGGGAGGCAGCAGUGGGGAAUAUUGGACAAUGGGCGCAAGCCUGAUCCAGCCAUGCCGCGUGAGUGAUGACGGCCUUAGGGUUGUAAAGCUCUUUCGCACGCGACGAUAAUGACGGUA
rnacentral:rRNA from 1 species